rnacentral:rRNA from 1 species
UGAAGACUUUGCCGGAUUAGCUGAGAGGUGGUGCAUGGCCGUCGUCAGUUCGUACUGUGAAGCAUCCUGUUAAGUCAGGCAACGAGCGAGACCCACGCCCACAGUUGCCAGCGUACUCUCUGGAGUGACGGGUACACUGUGGGGACCGCCGCUGCUAAAGCGGAGGAAGGAAUGGGCAACGGUAGGUCAGUAUGCCCCGAAUAUCCCGGGCUACACGCGAGCUACAAUGGUUGGUACAAUGGGUAUCUACCCCGAAAGGGGACGGGAAUCUCCUAAAACCAAUCUUAGUUCGGAUUGAGGGCUGCAACUCGCCCUCAUGAAGCUGGAAUCCGUAGUAAUCGCGUUUCAAAAUAGCGCGGUGAAUAUGUCCCUGCUCCUU